rnacentral:rRNA from 1 species
UACGUAGGUGACAAGCGUUGUCCGGAUUUACUGGGCGUAAAGAGCGCGCAGGCGGUCGAUCAAGUCGAGUGUGAAAGCCCCCGGCUCAACUGGGGAGGGUCAUUCGAUACUGAUCGACUCGAAGGCAGGAGAGGGUAGUGGAAUUCCCGGUGUAGUGGUGAAAUGCGUAGAUAUCGGGAGGAACACCAGUGGCGAAGGCGACUACCUGGCCUGUUCUUGACGCUGAGGCACGAAAGCGUGGGUAGCAAACAGG